rnacentral:rRNA from 1 species
GACGAACGCUGGCGGCGUGCUUAACACAUGCAAGUCGAACGGUGAAGCGCGUUCCUUUUUGUUGUGUGUGGAUUAGUGGACGAGUGGUUAAUAACACGGUAGUAUCCUGCGCACUUCUGCUGGAUAACCGCAUGAAAGUGUUGCUAAUACGGGAUAUUCUGGGUCUGUCGCAUUAUGGGUGUGGGGAGGAUUUGGUUUCGGUGGGGGAUGAGCUCGGGUCCUGUCAGCUUUUUGGUGGGGUGAUGGCCUACGAAGGCGGGGACGGGUAGCCGGCCGGAGAGGGUGGACGGUCACAGUGGGAGUGAGGCCCGGCACAGACUCCUAAGGGAGGCAGAAGUGGUGAAUAGUGAACAAGGGGCGCCAGCCUGAUGCAGGGACGGCGCGUGAGGGAUGGAGGCCGUCGGGUUGUGAACCUCUUUAGUCAGUGAAGCAGGCCUGCCUCGUUUGUGGGUGGGUUGACGGUAGCUGGAUAAGAAGCGCCGGCUAACUACGUG